AAGGAGGCAGAGCCUGUGGCGUGUGCUAAGAUCUCCUACUGUAACUAAGUCUUUCCAUCUGAUGGAUCCAUUCUUUUGGAUCCAAGUUUAACUCAUCCCUUGCAUUAAAUUUUGUUGCCACCAGGUUAGUUAUGUUUGAAAAUGCCAUUCUGUCUCCUUGGGACAAACUCUUUGUGCCGGAAAAACUACGUUAUGGGAAACUAAUUUAACUGUUGUUGUGUCCCUAGGUUACGUGUAACCUCUUUUGAUAGCAGCGGGAAAGUUACUUUCAGUAGAACAACAGGAUAUCAGAUUCUAACCUUUCAGAAGGACCAGGAGCAGAUAGUGAUGAAUUUGGACAGAAGCCUCCUGACCUUCCCGCUCUACAUCUUCUGUAACUUUUUGUACACAUCGCCAGAGAAGACGACCGACAGCGAGGCACUGCCAGAUAACUCAGAAACCUGAGACCUCUUUAUAUAUUAUAUAUCUAUAUAUUUUAUAUAUAUAUAUAUGGCCUUAGUAUACUCCUAUGCAUAUCUGAAAAGAUCAUCAGAAAUUGUGUAGGCCAAAACUAGUUAUCCCAUAUGUUUUUUUAAUUUCUGUUCUGCACCUGCAGACAGUAGCCAUUCCGUGGUUAAGAAAUGUUAGACUUUUUAUUUUCCUGGGUGAAAACUGAGCCAAAUGGGACAGGGGGAGUUUGUGUGAAUGACAUCUUACGAACUUUCCUGUCAGAUUCUGAGCACGCAUUGUAGGACGCGUGGUUUUUGUAGUGUCUUAUUUGUUUGUGGGUUGGUUUUUUUUUUUAAAUGACUGAUCUGUAAAUACCA